GGAAGCCAUGAUCUACUCAUGGAAGGAGGUGAUCUGGACUACUUUGUGUAAAUAAAUUCAUGCCCUGGGUUUGCUUACAAUGGUGACAAAUUCUCAGAGUAAGUUCCAGAACACAGCGUCCCCAAGAACUGGAUGCCCUCCAGGCUCCUCCCUCUUCUCCGGCCUUAGCCUUCAGCCCUGGGUGCUACAGAGGGAUACACCCUCCUCAGACCUCCACCUGGGAGGAUAGCCAGUUCUCAGAUCUUCACGGCUGGCUCCUCUUCCGGCCCGCUGCCGUGGCCCCUCUACAGAGCCCCUGUACAGAAGGUCCAGGCAGCAGUAGAAGCAGGGGUAGAAGCUGGGCCCUCGAGCCCAGUACAGCGUUCACCCUCCAUUAGGCCCUGCAGCUGUGUGAGCUUCUGCGGGUCCACAGCCUCCAUUUCUUUGUCUGUAAAAUGGGGUUUAGUGAUAGUGUCUGUCUCCUGGGGCUCCUUCAAGGGCUACGGUGUUUCCGUGUGUUAGGGCCGUCCCUCUGGUGCCUAGAGAACAGGGCACAGCCCCAAAUGACCCCAGACUGUGCAGUUCCCCGUGGGACGCUGGAGAGGCCUCUGUGGCCCUGCCCCUCCCCCUGCCACUCCCCCACUGCCAGCCCCACAGGCCCUUCUCCCCCAGCCCCAGCUCCACCUUGGAGCCACCAUCCUCCUCACGGGCCUCUCACCUGUGCCUCCAACAGGAAGUGAAUACUCGGGCAACACCUAUGGCCACACCCCCUACUCCUCCUACAGCGAGGCCUGGCGCUUCCCCAACUCCAGCUUGCUGAGUAAGUCCGGCCUGGCAGGCCCCCUGUGGGGCAGGGCGGGUGGGAGGGACAAGGCCAGGCCCAGGAGUUUGAGCACUGGGUGGCCCCAGGUUAGACAAGGCCUGGAGACCUUGUCUGGCACAGGAUGUAGCAGGAGGGCAGUCUUUGCAGGGAGAAGGCAGAAGCCAGGUAAUUCCUGACUUUGAUCUCCCUCCUGCUCCCUAAGGCCCUAAAUCAUCGUUUUGCAUAAGAUUCAGAGUCAGGACUUGAGGGGAGGGCAAGGAUUCAGAAGAGUCUAAGAGAGGCCUGCUGCUGCAGGGUCGCCGUCCCCCUGGCCACGCUGAUCCAGCCACUGCAGGCCACACUGCUGUGCUUCUUCCUGAGAGCUGAUUUCAGAACACUACCCUGACCCUCAUCAUCCACCUAAGUGGGUCCCAGAUAAUCCUGACUCUAAAGCCCUUAGCAGGAAGCCUUGUUCCUCCAGGUUUGGCAUAUUUGGUUUGAGAACUGGACGGCAUGCAGGGUUGAGGUCCAGAGAGAGAUAAUGGCUUCAGCAGGCUUCGGGGCCACUGUCCACCCUUCUCUAGCUGUGGGACCUGGGCUAGGGAGAAAAGCAAGCCCACAGUGGGGAACUUGAGGGCUCCCACUAGGGCUUCCCUGAGGGGUGGCCUUGAGGGUAUCAGAGCAGACCUGAGCUGGAGAGGAGCCCUGGCAGACCUCCUGGGAACCUCUGCUGCUGUAACCUCUGAGCAUUCUGCCCUAGGCUCUGCAGAUGUCUGCAAUUCCAAGCCACCUCUUGGUUCACCUCAGCCAGGAAGGACAAGGGCAAGGAGACAUGCAGGGGUCAGGGGUCAGGACAACCUCCUGCUGAGCCUCCUCAAGCUGCCAUCAGCAGGGGCUUGGAGCCUGCUGCAGGCCUGGAGCCCAGGCCUCCUUGGCCCGGUGGGAAUCUCAGUCUGGGCAUCAGAUUCUGCGACCUGCUGUUGUUGGGCAAGUCUGGUGCUUGGUUCUUGUGCUCCCAAGGGCCACGGCUCUCUCCUGCCCUCUCCUGCCCUCUCCCUGCCCCCAGGUGUUGAAGGUCAAGAGGGGGGAGGGGGCAAGACAGGCUCUCAUUCUGGUGGCAACUCCGAGGCGAGGCUGGAGAAGGAGGAGACAGGGCUGGAGAGGAGUUAAUCUUUGAUGAUCAGAUAGGCAGGGGUGAAUGAUUAACUGCUGCUGUCUUAAAGGUCAGCAGAGGCCGGGAGGCCGAGCCACCGCCACCUCCCCUCUGACCAGCAGUGUUGUUGUUUUUUUCGAUGGUCCAGGUUCCCCCUAUUAUUACAGUUCCACCUCGAGGCCGAGCGUGCCGCCCACCUCUGCCACGGCCUUUGACCAUCUGUAAUUGCCAUGGGGACAGUGGGAGCGACCAGGCAGCAGGAGGACUCGGCCUGGGACAGGCCCCAGAGAGUCAUACAAAGGAAUCUUUAUUUAUUACAUGAAAAAUAACCACAAGUCCAGCUUCAUGGCUCACUCCCCGUGUGGUUAAUGUAAUCAACCGUGAAAGACGGGAUGACCUUGGAGAAGGCCAAACUGUCCUCCAGGACUCCUUAAUGGGGGCAGGAGUUCAAGGGAAAGAGGACCAUCCCAUUCCAAAAGACAGAAUUGGAGAAGAAAUGUUCCCUGGCUGCUAGCCACCAAAGGAGAGAAGCAAGCGCCCCAGGACCUGGAGGGGGUACAGGUGGGCCUGCCGGCCCGCAUGGGCACAAGGCACUCGCAUGGCUCAUCAACACAGCUUAGCAGAGGUGGACUGUAGGCAAGUCCUUCCGCCCACAGGUCACAGCCUGGUGCCAAGGCUCGACCCGACAGGCACCCUGACCCCUCCCUCAGCCUCCACCACUGCUGGCUCUUCCUGCUGUGUCUCCCGGGCACGGGCUGAGGGCUGCUAGUCUGUCACCCCCCUGCAUUGCCAGAUGACCCCCACUCCACCUGCUGCUGUGCAAGUUCCAGCCUCUCCUCCAGUGGCUCCUCUCUUUGGCAGCCACCAUCAGCCAUCCAGAAGCAGCUGAAGACAGGCAUUCCCCAGGGCCUAGGCCCUGGGAGGGGAGGUGCGGCCCUGCCCAGGGCAGAACAAGGCCCAAUGGUGGGAAAAGCCAACCAGAGGACACUUCCCCUUCCAGCUGCUCUUGCCAAGUCACCUGAGCUACCACAGCCCUCCUACAGCAGCCAGAAGACACCCAAGGCAGCCCCCGAGGCCCAACUGUAAAUACUGUAUAUGAAGCUCUGGUGGGUCCUGCUUCCCUCUUUCCACCCCAGACUUGGCCUCUGAAUUGUCUCCCAGCACCUUGGGCUUCUCUCCUUGAUGCUUCUUUCUUUUUUAAAGAAACCCACCAUUGCCACAUGACUCAAUAAACCAUUACUCUUCGUCUCAGGCUUUGGGGUUGGCUCCGGG
rnacentral:lncRNA from 1 species